CCAGACUCCUACGGGAGGCAGCAGUGAGGAAUAUUGGUCAAUGGGCGCGAGCCUGAACCAGCCAAGUAGCGUGAGGGAAGACUGCCCUAUGGGUUGUAAACCUCUUUUAUGCGGGGAUAAAGGUGUCCACGUGCGGAUGUUUGCAGGUACCGCAUGAAUAAGGACCGGCUAAUUCCGUGCCAGCAGCCGCGGUAAUACGGAAGGUCCGGGCGUUAUCCGGAUUUAUUGGGUUUAAAGGGUGCGCAGGCGGAAUGUCAAGUCAGCGGUAAAAUUUCGGGGCUCAACCCCGUCGUGCCGUUGAAACUGGCGUUCUUGAGUGAGCGAGAAGUAUGCGGAAUGCGUGGUGUAGCGGUGAAAUGCAUAGAUAUCACGCAGAACUCCGAUUGCGAAGGCAGCAUACCGGCGCUCAACUGACGCUCAUGCACGAAAGCGUGGGUAUCGAACAGGAUUAGAUACCCGCGUAAC
rnacentral:rRNA from 1 species